GAUGAACGCUGACAGAAUGCUUAACACAUGCAAGUCAACUUGAAUUUGGGUUUUUACCUUAGGUUUGGGUGGCGGACGGGUGAGUAACGCGUAAAGAACUUGCCUCACAGCUAGGGACAACAUUUGGAAACGAAUGCUAAUACCUAAUAUUAUGAUAAUAGGGCAUCCUAUAAUUAUGAAAGCUAUAAGCGCUGUGAGAGAGCUUUGCGUCCCAUUAGCUAGUUGGAGAGGUAACGGCUCACCAAGGCGAUGAUGGGUAGCCGGCCUGAGAGGGUGAUCGGCCACAAGGGGACUGAGACACGGCCCUUACUCCUACGGGAGGCAGCAGUGGGGAAUAUUGGACAAUGGACCGAGAGUCUGAUCCAGCAAUUCUGUGUGAACGAUGAAGUUUUUCGGAAUGUAAAGUGCUUUCAGUUGGGAAGAAACAAAUGACGGUACCAACAGAAGAAGUGACGGCUAAAUACGUG
rnacentral:rRNA from 1 species